GGGAAGGCACAGGGCAUUGCUGGUCCGGGCUGCCGUGGGCGGUGGGCACCCGCUGCGGCUGCCCGGGGUAGGGGAUAUCAAAUGACACUUCCAUCUACACUGCACAGAAAUGAAACAGAUUACAAGAACUGCAGGAUGAAGUUACCAGCGUAUGGACCAGACUGCAAACAUCUGAUAAUCUCUGUGCUAAAUGGGUUGAAGUAUAUCUGGUUUGUACUUCUCAGAGUGGAUUCAAUGUGACAUGUUAUGGGAAGCUCUGGCAGAAAUAUGUGGGCCUCGUUUUAAAUAAGAGGCUCCGUUUUCAUGUAUUUUUAUGAUGAAGCAUUGUAGCUAAAUGAAUGUCAUGGGACACCUCUUAAACAAUCUUUUCCAGCUCCUGUUCAACCCUUUAGUUGCAGAAAGUCUUCUCUGAGCAGAAACAUCACAGAUUAUGUUUCAGACAAGAGCAAAUGUAAUAUUUCCAGAGUUUCAGGAUACUUUUCAGGACCCCCAUCUCCUACUCGCUUGUGUUUAUAAGCUUCAACCCAGGUAUCACCCCAAGAAGCAGUUUGAAAAACAAUGCUGUGUAAUAAAUCUUCUUAGUCCAAAUUUAGAUGACUUAUUUCAGGGCAAAGUUUUUGAUAUACUAUACUGAGUUCCACGUAACUGGAGAGCUCAUGACAAAACCCAACUGCAAUUUGAGAAUGUUUGCUGCAAAUUGUAAAACAAAUUGCUGUAUUAUUAGGCAUAUAUGAGCUAUAUAAAUAAAUUGCUACUUGUCAAGGAUAUUGCAUUAUAGCUCUUUAUGUUCAUAGGAUUAGUAUCCAGGUAAAAGUACUCUGAACUGCAAAAUUUCGUAUCAUAUC